rnacentral:rRNA from 1 species
CCUACGGGAGGCAGCAGUGGGGGAUAUUGCACAAUGGGGGAAACCCUGAUGCAGCGACGCCGCGUGUGGGAAGACGGUCCUCUGGAUUGUAAACCACUGUCCCCAGGGACGAAGAUGACGGUACCUGGGGAGGAAGCUCCGGCUAACUACGUGCCAGCAGCCGCGGUAAUACGUAGGGAGCGAGCGUUGUCCGGAAUUACUGGGUGUAAAGGGAGCGUAGGCGGGACUGCAAGUUGGGUGUCAAAUCUACCGGCUCAACCGGUAGCCGCACUCAAAACUGCAGUUCUUGAGUGAAGUAGAGGCAGGCGGAAUUCCUAGUGUAGCGGUGAAAUGCGUAGAUAUUAGGAGGAACACCAGUGGCGAAGGCGGCCUACUGGACUGUAACUGACGUUGAGGCUCGAAAGCGUGGGGAGCAAACAGGAUUAGAUACCCGAGUAGUC